GCCUAACACAUGCAAGUCGAACGGAACUUUUUUAAUUGAUUUCUUCGGAAUGAUUUUGAUUAAGUUUAGUGGCGGACGGGUGAGUAACGCGUGAGUAACCUGCCUCUGAGAGGGGAAUAACAUUCUGAAAAGAAUGCUAAUACCGCAUAACAUAUAUUUAUCGCAUGGUAAAUAUAUCAAAGAUUUAUCGCUCAGAGAUGGACUCGCGUCCGAUUAGUUAGUUGGUGAGGUAACGGCUCACCAAGACUACGAUCGGUAGCCGGACUGAGAGGUUGAACGGCCACAUUGGGACUGAGACACGGCCCAGACUCCUACGGGAGGCAGCAGUGGGGGAUAUUGCGCAAUGGGGGCAACCCUGACGCAGCAACGCCGCGUGAAGGAUGAAGGUCUUCGGAUUGUAAACUUCUUUUAUUAAGGACGAAUAAAGUGACGGUACUUAAUGAAUAAGCUCCGGCUAACUACGUGCCAGCAGCCGCCGUAA
rnacentral:rRNA from 1 species